GGCGGCGAGAGCGACUCGGAGGAGGUGCGCAACAUCCGCUGCCUCACGCCCACUCGCUCCUUCUACCCGGCGCCCGGGCCCUGGCCCAAGAGCUUCUCCGAUCGGCAGCAGAUGAAGGACAUCCGCUCGGAGGCCGAGCGCCUGGGCAAGACCAUCGACCGGCUCAUCGCCGACACGAGCACCAUCAUCACCGAGGCGCGCAUCUACGUGGCCAACGGGGACCUGUUCGGACUCAUGGACGAGGAGGACGACGGCAGCCGCAUCCGCGAGCACGAGCUGCUCUACCGCAUCAACGCGCAGAUGAAGGCCUUCCGCAAGGAGCUGCAGACCUUCAUCGACCGCCUCGAGGUGCCCAAGUCUGCGGACGACCGCGGCGCCGAGGAGCCCAUUUCCGUGAGUCAGACAAGAAGUAAAAGAAGUAUAAUUUCUGUAGUAACCAAUGCUAUAAAAACACUGAAGACUGCUUAUUUCUUUAAAAAGACACAACUCAUCUUACCAAGACCAAAUUCAAUAAGAAGCCCAAGCACUAAAAUAUUUCAGGCUUUAUUUUAAAGGCAAGUGAGACUGCUUCAAAUAAAACAACUUCAAGCUUCCAAGAAACAGUUAAGAGGAGGCAGAGAGGAGCAGAAACACUUCUUCGCCGACACUUACACUGUUGCCAUGGACCUACAUAAGCAGUGGGAGAACACAGAGACUAACUGGCAUAAGGAAAAGAUGGAAUUACUGGACCAGUUUGACAAUGAAAGAAAGGAAUGGGAAAGUCAAUGGAAGA
rnacentral:sRNA from 1 species